CUGGUUACCCCUCUCCAUCAUCUUAUUCUUAUCCUUUCUUUUCUUUUUUUUCUCUUAGCCUUGAGUGCAAGCUAGGAAAAACAAAAAGAAAAGAGCUUGGAGAGUGGAGUUCUUCCUGUGGGGCGGCAAGGAGGGCCCUUGAGGCUGAGAUUAGUUGGAGGGAGCAUAGUGAAGCUUCCAAUUAAGCAGAUUGUGAGGAGCAGAUUGUGAGGAGAAGCUAGUAAAGCAAGAUUAUUUCUUGUGACAGCUGAGGUAACUAGGAGGAAUCCCAAAUUAAGCUGAAGCUGACAACUCGGUGCUUGCGGGUUGUAGAGCUGCUACCUCGUGAAGUUGAAUUGAAGAAGGACUCAGUGAAGUUCUAAAAUCAGGUCGACGACGCGCUAGUUACGGUAGAGACCGUUCUAGCUCUAUUUACACCGAGUCGUGAGAGCUAAUUGUCGACACACUUCGAGACGUGGAUUCUAGUUGUUGACACCACUACAGGUUCCAGUGCGAGCGUUGUGGCCGAGGAUCACGGCAAGAUCCCUGCAGUUUAGCUAGCUGACACCAGAGUUCUAGUGGUAUACCAUUUUGGGUUCAUAUGUCCUCUAUUUUGAUGUACAGAGACAUGUAGAGGAAUGUAUAAAAGAGCAUGUAAAUAACUAAAUGUUUCAGUUAUUCAGUUAUGUAAAGUUCAGUUUAAAGUUUUAAAUUACAGUAAAUUUCAUGUAUAGUUAGGUUA